UUCCAGCUGAUCUACCUCACGGUGUGAGGUGGUCGCUUGAGUUGCAGUGGGGUAGUGGAACACACUGCAUCCCAUGUGACCACCCUACACAGUGCCGGGCAUCUCUGUCAGGAG